UACUAUAUAAUUGUAACAAUCUCAUUCAUCAUUACCUUUGUCUGAGUUUGAAGGGGGAGACUUAAUGAAUUUCAACUUCUAAAAACACUUUCAUGUCUUGAGCCCACAACAGAUAGCCAUUCAAUUUCACAAUAGUAAUCUGCACAGCUGGAUUAUUUAUGGAUGAAGUUGGGCCAUUUUAAUGUCAUUGGAAUCAGCCAUUCUCCCACACAAGAACAGAAAAGGGAAUGCCUUUGAUCAAACACAGCACCUAACACACAAAGCACACUAUUUUGCCAUCCAACAAUGGUCUUAGCCUUUAAUUCCACCCACAGGAAUUCAUAGGAGGGCAUCACCCUGAAAAAAUCAAAUUUUGAACUGUUUUCAGGGAUUAAUCCCAACACCAAGCUGCUCUUAAAGGUCAGAUCUUGGUAGCUAAACAACUCCAGCACAGGAGUUUAGAAAAGGAAAAAAAAAAAAAAAAAUGGAAAACAACUUUAUACCAGAACAUACAUAGAUCAGAAAUUGGGGAUAUGGCCGUCGAAUGGCCCACCCCUAAAACAUAUACCAUACCCUCCUUGUCCUUGCGCUAACGGUGUUGGGCAAAGGAGAUGAAAAAAAAUAAAAAUAAAAAUCCUGGCCACAGUUUUGGGUCAAAAGAAAAAUCUGGCAACCAUUCUGGGUUUGUGUAACGGCCAUGGUCAUGUGUAAAGAGAUUGGAGAAGAGGAAAAGAGAAUAUAGAAGUGUUGAGAGAGAGAGAAAGAAGAAAAACCUUAAUUCUCAUUAAUUUGUUUACUUACAAUUGAGCAAUAUAUAUAUAUAUAAGGCUAGGAGUCCUAACUACCAUACAUGUGACCUAUAUUAACAAGGAAAGCUUAUAUACUAUAAAUACAUUAUAUUCAACACUCCCCCUCAAGCUGGAGCAUAUACGUCAUAUGCACCAAGCUUGUUACAAAUAUAUUUAAUCUUAGGACCUCUGAGAGAUUUAGUGAAGAUGUCUGCUAGUUGAUCAUUUGAAUUAACAAAACUUGUAGCAACACAUCCUGAUUCGAUCUUCUCUCUAAUGAAAUGACAGUCAACUUCAAUGUGCUUGGUCCUUUCAUGAAAGACUGGAUUGGAUGCAAUAUGUAAUGCGGCCUGGUUAUCACAGAUGAGUUUCAUCUGUUCAUCCUUUCCAAAUCUCAACUCUCGAAGAAGAUGUCUCAACCAUAUGAGUUCACAUGUUGCCAAAGCCAUAACUCGAUACUCGGCUUCAGCGCUAGAUCUGGCCACUACAUCUUGUUUCUUACUCUUCCAAGAUAUUAGAUUACCUCCAAUAAAAACACAGUACCCUGAAGUGGAACGUCUAUCUGUGGGUGAGCCAGUCCAAUCUGCAUCUGUGUAACCAACAACCUGAGUAUGACCUCUGUUCUCGUACAACACACCUUGGCCUGGUGAACUUUUGAUAUAUCGAAGAAUGCGGAUUACGACAUCCCAAUGGCUAUCACAUGGUGACUGUAGGAAUUGACUAACAACACUCACAGGAAAAGAAAUGUCUGGACGAGUAAUGGUGAGAUAGUUCAAUUUACCUACGAGCCGUCGAUAUCUCCCGGGGUCUCCUAAAGGCUCCCCCUGUCCUGGUACAAGUUUGACAUUCGGAUCCAUAGGUGUGUCUACCGGUUUACAGUCUAACAUACCGGUUUCUUCCAGGAUGUCUAAAGCAUACUUCCUUUGGGAAAGGACCACACCAGAACUGGAUUGAGCUAUCUNNNNNNNNNNNNNNNNNNNNNNNNNNNNNNNNNNNNNNNNNNNNNNNNNNNNNNNNNNNNNNNNNNNNNNNNNNNNNNNNNNNNNNNNNNNNNNNNNNNNUACAAGUUGACAUUCGGAUCCAUAGGUGUGUCUACCGGUUACAGUCUAACAUACCGGUUUCUUCAGGAUGUCUAAAGCAUACUUCCUUUGGGAAAGGACCACACCAGAACUGGAUUGAGCUAUCUCAAUUCCCAAGAAAUACUUGAGUUUCCCCAAGUCUUUGGUCUGAAAGUGGGUAAAAAGAUGUUGCUUUAGUUUCUGAAUACCAUUCUGAUCACUACCUGUAAUGACGAUGUCGUCCACAUAAACAACCAGAUAAAUACACUGCCCCAAGGAGUUAUGAUGAUAGAAAACUGAAUGGUCUGAUGUACUGCGAAGCAUGCCAAACUCUUGAACAACAGAACUAAAACGGCCAAACCAUGCUCGAGGAGAUUGUUUCAAGCCAUAUAGAGAACGGCGUAACCUGCACACUAAACCAGACUCCCCUUGAGCAACAAAACCAGGAGGUUGCUCCAUAUAAACUUCCUCGGCAAGAUCACCAUGAAGGAAGACAUUUUUAAUAUCCAACUGAUAAAGAGGCCAAGAACACAUAGCAGCCAUGGAGAGAAGCAGAUGGACAGAAGCAAUCUUGGCAACAGGGGAGAAUGUGUCACCAUAAUCAGAACCAUAAACCUGAGUAUAGCCUUUAGCAACUAAGCGGGCCUUAAGGCUAUCAACCUGACCAUCAGGACCAACCUUAACUACGUAGACCCAACGACAGCCAACGGUAGAUUUACCAGAGGGUAAAACAACAAGAUCCCAAGUGCCAUUAGAGUGCAGAGCAGCCAUUUCAUCCACCAUUGCCUGUCACCAGCCUGGAUGGGAAAGAGCUUCAUGGGUGCUCUUUGAGCAGGUGGGGAGACAAUGGGAAUGGACAAGACUUCAGAAACAGGAAGAGACUCAGAAGUGGUGGAAAAGAAUGGUGAGUCCUCAAAGAAGGUGACAUCAGCGGAGAUAAAGUAUCGAUGAGUCUCAAGGGAAUAACAACGAUAACCCUUUUGAAGUCUAGAAUAUCCUAAGAAGAGGCACUUCAUGGCUUUGGCGGAAAGCUUGUCCUGUCCAGGAGUGAGAAUAUGAACAAAGCAAGUACAACCAAAAACAUGAGGAGGAAGGAAAUAAAGUGGUUGGUCAGGGAAGAGAAGGGAGUGAGGAAUCUGAUCGUGUAAGACAGAGGAGGGCAUACGAUUAAUCAAAUAACAAGCGGUAAGAACAGCGUCCCCCCAAAAACGAAAAGGAACAUUACUAUGGAGGAGGAUAGUACGAGCUGUCUCAACAAGAUGUCGAUUCUUGCGUUCAGCUACCCCAUUUUGUUGAGGAGUAUGAGCACAAGAAGACUGAUGAAGAAUCCCAUGAUGAGACAUAAACGAAGUAAAUGGGGCUGAAAAAUAUUCCCUGGCAUUGUCACUGCGUAACACACGAAUAGAAACAUUGAAUUGGGUUUGGAUUUCAGCAUAAAAUUUCUGGAAAAUAGAGAAUAACUCAGCUCGAUUUUUCAUUAAAAAUAAUCAAGUACAUCGAGAAUAGUCAUCAAUGAAAGUGACAAAAUACUGAAAUCCUAAAGUAGACGCAGUUCGACAAGGACCCCAAACAUCAGUGUCGACUAGCUCAAAAGGAGACUUUGCCCGAUUAUUCAAACGCUUUGGGAACGAGACACGAGUAUGUUUCCCAAGCUGACAUGACUCACACGGAAGCGACGACAAAGUGGAAAAACGAGGGACCAUCUUCUGGAACUUGGAGAGACUAGGGUGGCCCAGACGAUUGUGAAUGAGGAGAGGAGCAUCAGUGGAAAUGCAAACUGCAGGAGAUGAAUCCGAGGUGAGGUGAUAGAGGCCUUGAGACUCACGUCCUAUGCCAAUCGUCUUCCCUGUACUCCGGUCCUGCAAGGUCACAAAUUUAUCAGAAAAGGUAAUAGAGCAAUUAAGAGUACGAGUGAUUUUGCUGAUGGAAAUAAUAUUAAAAGGACAUUCAGGAGUAUAAAGGACAGAAGUGAGAGGUAAAGAAGGCAGAGGAAGGGCCAAACCAAUACCUUUAGCCACAGUUUGAGAACCAUUAGCUAAGGUAACAUUAGGUAAAGCAGAGGUAGUAGUAAUAGAGGAGAAAAGAUCCUUAUUACCAGAUAGGUGAUCAGAAGCUCCAGAAUCUAGAAUCCAGGGUCCAAGAGAAGAUGUGUGGGUAAGGCAGGCAGAGGCAUUACCAGGCUGGGCAACAGAGGCAACAGAAGCCUGAGAUGCGGAAGAGCUCGGAGGCUGAGGCAGCGGAGAAUCAGAGGACUGGGCCACAUGGGCAGUGCGAGGAGGCCGUCCAUGUAACUGAUAGCAACGAUCGCGAGUGUGGCCAAGUUUAUUGCAAUAGGUGCAAUGAGGACGUUGACCUCUACCUCGGGUACCACUGCGGCCUCCUCGAGAGCUAGUUUGAGAAACUAACACAGAGGAAUCUGAAGUGCUAUCAAAUGGCAAAGUCUGAGUGGAGGAGAUACGGAGGAGGCGAGCAAACACAUCAUCCAAGGACGGAACUGAUGAACUACCAAGAAUCUGAUCGCGGACAGGCUCAAGAUCCGGACGGAGGCCAAUAAGAGUAAGAACCAUGAAGAACUUGUCAAGUUGUGUUUGUUGAGCCCCAACAUCAGGAGUAAGAGGCAUCACAGUCAAGAACUCCUCCUUAAGAGAGGCAAUCUGACCAAUAUAAGUAGAUAGAUCCAAGUCCUGUUGGCUGAUAUGGACAAUAGCAGAAGCCACCUUAUAAAGACGCUGGAUAUCAUUCGUGUAUAAUUCUUUGGCCUGAGUCCAAAAUUUAAAACAAGUUUUGUAGGCCCGAAGAUGAAGAAGAAUCUUGGGAUCAACCGAUUGCCAUAAUACACUACAUAACUGUGCAUCUAUCUUUCUCCAUUGUACGCGGUCAACCUCAGGGAUAUCUGCCUUUUGGGUAACCAAGUGAUCCUCAUAUCCUUGACCCAUAAACCAAAGUUCAACAGAGGCAGACCAGGAAAGAUAAUUUUCACUGCCAACUAAUUUCUCCGAAGUAAUCAUAGGAGAUCCAGAUAUGACAGAGGAAAAAAUGGAAGCUUUAGUAGCCAUAUCCACUUAUCUGGAGAAUGAAGUAUGUUUGGAUCGAAGAGAGCCCUAAUACGGCUUCAGAUUGCGGUGUGGCACCACCGAAAAAGGGAGACGGCCUCAGAUCGCGGCGUGGUACCACCAGAAAGGUAGAAGAACACUUCCCAAGGCACGUGCAGGGAUUGGAGUGGAGAAAAAGUAGUCGGAGCUUCGCCGGAAAGACUGUUUGGAGGGCCGACGGAGACAAAAAUCCCCAAAAGAGGUACGUGUAGGGCUCGGAUGGGAAAACCAGGGAGGUAGGGAGGCUGGUCGGCGUCAGGCGAAGCUGGAGGAGGAGGCGCGUCGCCGGAAAAUGCCUCACGCGCCCUCACGCGCCGGCGCGUGAGAUACAGCUGCCGGCCGGAAAAUGGCGCGUGGCCGGCGUGUGGAUGCUCUUUUGGUGCCACUGCCUUCACAAAAGUUGGAGAUCUCCUCCAGGCGCUCCUUCUGGUAUGGUCGGUGUCGGAAAAAUAGGUCGCCGGAAAAGUUCGCCGGAAAAUUUCGCCGGCGGUGAGUGGUUUUUCCGACUGACCGGAAAGUAUUGGGAGAUGGGGAAGGUGACCGGAAUGAAACACGGUCACCGGAAGGUUUCCCGGAGUUGAUGACACGGGAAACAGGAAAGAAUUAGGUUUUCUUCCUUGGCUCUGAUACCAUGUUGAGAGAGAGAGAAAGAAGAAAAACCUUAAUUCUCAUUAAUUUGUUUACUUACAAUUGAGCAAUAUAUAUAUACAA
rnacentral:lncRNA from 1 species